rnacentral:lncRNA from 1 species
CAGUGGGCUGAAAUUGCAUAAUAAGAAAGCCAUUCGCCCUUCAUCAAGUUACUUCCUAUGACUUAUGCCAACAGGGCACUGCAUCUACUCCUUCUGCUAGCGAGUAUGAAUAAAGCCCCUCUCGGCCCAAAGUCUCAUGCGAUCAAGUCACCCAUGCACAGCACUGGGCAGGACCGAUGCUGCUCCCAACUUCACGCAGUGAGCAU